CCUACGGGAGGCAGCAGUGGGGAAUAUUGGACAAUGGGCGAAAGCCUGAUCCAGCAAUGCCGCGUGAGUGAUGAAGGCCUUCGGGUCGUAAAGCUCUUUUACCAGGGAUGAUAAUGACAGUACCUGGAGAAUAAGCUCCGGCUAACUCCGUGCCAGCAGCCGCGGUAAUACGGAGGGAGCUAGCGUUGUUCGGAAUUACUGGGCGUAAAGAGUACGUAGGCGGUUAUUCAAGUCAGAGGUGAAAGCCCGGGGCUCAACCCCGGAACUGCCUUUGAAACUAGAUAACUAGAGUCUUGGAGAGGUUAGUGGAAUUCCGAGUGUAGAGGUGAAAUUCGUAGAUAUUCGGAAGAACACCAGUGGCGAAGGCGACUAACUGGACAAGUACUGACGCUGAGGUACGAAAGCGUGGGGAGCAAACAGGAUUAGAUACCCUGGUAGUCCACGCCGUAAACGAUGAUAACUAGUUGUUCGGUCACUUGGUGACUGAGUGACGCAGCUAACGCAUUAAGUUAUCCGCCUGGGGAGUACGGUCGCAAGAUUAAAACUCAAAGGAAUUGACGGCUGNGAGNGCGAGACGACACGAGGGAGAG
rnacentral:rRNA from 1 species